rnacentral:rRNA from 1 species
CAGUCGCACGGGAACACGUAGGGUGCAAGCGUUAAUCGGAAUUACUGGGCGUAAAGCGUGCGCAGGCGGUUAUAUAAGACAGAUGUGAAAUCCCCGGGCUCAACCUGGGAACUGCAUUUGUGACUGUAUAGCUAGAGUACGGCAGAGGGGGAUGGAAUUCCGCGUGUAGCAGUGAAAUGCGUAGAUAUGCGGAGGAACACCGAUGGCGAAGGCAAUCCCCUGGGCCUGUACUGACGCUCAUGCACGAAAGCGUGGGGAGCAAACAGGAUUAGAUACCCCAGUAGUCCCUGUCUCUUAUACA